CCUACGGGGGGCAGCAGUGGGGAAUAUUGCGCAAUGGGGGGAACUCUGACGCAGCCAUGCCGCGUGAAUGAAGAAGGCCUUCGGGUUGUAAAGUUCUUUCGGUAUUGAGGAAGGGAUGUGUGCUAAUAGUACACGUCCUUGACGUUAAAUACAGAAGAAGCACCGGCUAACUACGUGCCAGCAGCCGCGGUAAUACGGAGGGUGCGAGCGUUAAUCGGAAUAACUGGGCGUAAAGGGCACGCAGGCGGUGACUUAAGUGAGGUGUGAAAGCCCCGGGCUUAACCUGGGAAUUGCAUUUCAUACUGGGUCGCUAGAGUACUUUAGGGAGGGGUAGAAUUCCACGUGUAGCGGUGAAAUGCGUAGAGAUGUGGAGGAAUACCGAAGGCGAAGGCAGCCCCUUGGGAAUGUACUGACGCUCAUGUGCGAAAGCGUGGGGAGCAAACAGGAUUAGAUACCCCUGUAGUC
rnacentral:rRNA from 1 species